GAGAAGCAGAAGGGCAGAGUUUUUUUUAAAAAAAAAAAUCCCCAGUACAAUUUUCUUUGUGUCAACACAGGCGGUUUCUGUAUCAGAUUUGUGUGAAAAGACAUUUUUAGAACCAAAGCUGUGCCUCAGAAAUGGACUACUACUUAUUUAGUGAUGGGGGAAGAUAGCAAAGUGACACGAGGACAACUCCAUCCUUUCUGCACGUGCCUGUAUGGGCAGGGCAUGUUCUUCCAAGCAAGCAGUGUUACAGCGAGAACAGGGAGCUGGAAUUCUCACCACUUCCGAACCCAGGGAUUCCUCCAGACUUUUUCUGAAACCUGACAAGCGACUGCCUUGGUACCCAGAGCACAGCUGUGGGGGAAGCCUGUGCACAGGCAUCAACCCAGCACUGCCAACCCAACCCCAGGGCUCUGCUGGGCUGGCCCUGAUGUCCUUGUCCUUCACAAACAUGUGAUAAGAUCCGCAGCCUAUAGGGUUCACAAAGUUUGUGACUUACCCAACAUUGUCUAGGGCUUGAAGGCAAUGGAAGCCUUUCCAUGGAUUUCAUCAGGACUUGGAUCCGUUUAGCAGUGAAUUAAAACCAGAACCUCAGCCUUGUUGCUCCCAGGCAUUUGCCUUGCAAACACAAACUGCUCUUCUUGCAGGACCGGAGGUGACCUCAGCACCAGACGUGUUACACGAUGGACAAAGCACCCGGGCAGCCGCUUACGGCAGCAGCUGGAAUCCUGUUUCACUUGUGUGGUCAAAAUCUGAAAGCCUUGAGGCUGGCUUAGCCCCUGUUCCCUGCUCCCACCCUGCUGCUGGGACUGGUCCCAUUUGUCUCGUGGGAAAUGUGCAGCUUCUCCACCCAGGGAGGGUAAGGGAAGAGCUUCUGCAAGCCCACUGCAGCCCCAUGCACCCGAGCCGAAGCCCUGCAUGGGAAGGGCUAGGAAAUGUUAUAUUGCUUUUGUCUAGCUAUAAUGAAAAUAAAUGAGGGCUUCAAUUUAAAGUAGUUACUAAAAAUUUGUUCUUUCCUCUGCCAUAAUUCCAAAAACCACUUGCAGCUAAUUAGACUGAAUCGAGCAUGCUCGUGCUGUGCUGUGCUAGUGUAAACAGCAGCCAUCUGAGUUUCAUUACAAUAAGGAAAUAAAAUAAACACAGGGCCAGAAAACAGUAGUUUGGGCAUGGCUCAUUACAGCACAAUGCAGUUAAAAUUCUUUGUAGAGGCAAUGGGAUGGGGUACAAAGGGGAGUCUCUCCAUGUUCCUGUCCUGAACUUUUCCCCACUGGUGCAUCACAGGGAGAAGCAAAGCCCCUGCUUCUUGGCUCAGGGCUUCAGAUACCCCUGAGGCCUGCAAAUGGGCUCACUGCUAAGCUGUAUU